rnacentral:lncRNA from 1 species
CUAUUGAAAAGUAUAGUGCCAAAUGGUUCCAGAUUUUUAAAAAAUCACUUAAGUUCACAUAGUUAUCUCACAUAGGUCAAAUAUUAAUUUAACCUUUAUUGUGUCAUCUUCAUCUAUAAUGUGGCACAUGCCCUGAUUCAUGUGUCUAUAAAUAUUCUUUCUAAGGAAUAUUUCCUUAGAUUCUAAAAAAGAACACAGAAAGAGAUCUAAAUGAAAGCUAUUUAGCAUUAUUGUUACCAAAGUAUUGAAAUUCCAAAAGUUCAUUUUAGUCAUUCCUUUUAAUCCUUUCCCACGUCAAUUCUUUCUAGAAUUUUGAACAGUUAGAGAAAUAAACAUUAUUAUAGUUUUCUUCUCUUUUUCUUACCUUCUGAAGGUGAGUGAUAAAUGCAAUGGUCAAAACGAUUUCACUAAAGGGAAGACAGGAGAUCGUGCAGAGGGUCAUACAUUGGAUGUGCAACAGUGGAUCAUGAGGCCAAGGUGCUUGGGUAAUGCAACCCUUGGUAAAGCCAAAAUGUUAAGAAGUGGGUAUCCAUAACCUGUAUAACGAUCUGGAGAUCUGCUCUUUCAGGAUUUGCCCUAGCAUUUCAUGUAACAACAAGCCAAGCGUUUUUCGUCUUUGCACUGGUGGUAAGCCUUCAACUACCUUAUUGAAAUGUUGUGAUGGUAGUUUUAACUUAAACAAAUUUACCUUAAACAUCCAGAAUUAUUUGACAGCAAGACAUGUGUAAGUAAAAGGUGGUAUGGUG